GGGUCAGUAGGUUGGUCGUGCCACCGGUACGUACUGGUCUCACUGAUUCCUCCUUCCUGAAGAACCGUAAUGCCAUUAAUUUGGUGUUGCGGGGAAACAGGACUGUUACUUUGAAAAAAUUAGAGUGUUUAAAGCAAGCUAACGCUUGAAUACAUUAGCAUAGAAUAGUGAAAUAGGACGAUCGAUCCUAUUUUGUUGGUUUCUAGGAUUGACGUA
rnacentral:rRNA from 1 species